rnacentral:rRNA from 1 species
CAAAGGCUUGGUCCUGAC